rnacentral:lncRNA from 1 species
CAGUUACACAGAUAGGUAUUUUCUAGUUUUUAUCACGGAAUAUUUUGUUUUUCACUAUAGGUCUCAGUGGGCUCCAAAAUGUCCCUUCACAGAAUCUACAAAAAGAGAGUUUCCAACUCGCUGAGAAUAUUUGGUUUUUCAUUAUAGGCCUCAGUGGGCUUCAAAAUGUCUCUUUGCAGAUUGUGCAAAAACCGUGUUUCCAACCUGCUGAAUCAAAAGAAACGUUUAACUCUUAGAGCUGAAUCCGCACAUCACAAAGCAGUUUCACAGACACCUUCUUUCUAUUUUUUAUCUUGGGACUUUUUUUUUGUAUAGGCCUCAGUGUAUUCCAAAAUGUUCAUUCCUAGAUUCUGCAAAAAAAAAAAGCAUUUCCAACUUACUUCAUCAAAAGAUAGGUUUCACCCUGUGAGCUGAAUCCACACGUCAUAAAACAGUUUUACGGAUAUCUCUUCUCUACUUUUUAUUUUGGGAUAUUCUGUUUUUCACUAUAGGCCUCAGAUUCUACAAAAACAGUGUUUCCAAUUUGCUGAAUCAAAAAAAGUUUAACUCUGUGAACUGAAUUCACACAUCACAAAGCAGAUUCUCAGAAAACUUCUUUCUCUGUUUUAUUGCAUUUCAAAGAUAGCUUCCUCCCUCUACUGAGGGAUAUUUGUUUUUUCACUAUAGGCCUCACUGGGCUCUGAAAUCUUCAUUUUAGGUUUUAAAAU